rnacentral:rRNA from 1 species
UACAGAGGGUGCGAGCGUUAAUCGGAAUUAUUGGGCGUAAAGGGCGCGUAGGCGGCUCGGCACGUCCGUUGUGAAAUCGCCCGGCUCAACUGGGCGGGGGUCGGCGGAUACGGCCGAGCUGGAGCAAGCUAGGGGGUAAUGGAAUUCCCGGUGUAGUGGUGGAAUGCGUAGAUAUCUGGAGGAACACCGGUGGCGAAGGCGGCAUCCUGGACCGGUAUUGACGCUGAGGCGCGAAAGCCAGGGGAGCAAAGCGGG